GGGAUUAGCUUUUGGGAGGUAAGGCUCACCAAGGCAACGAUCCCUAGCGGUUUGAGNNGAUGUUCAGCCCCCCGGAACUGAGACCCGGUCCAGAUUCCUACGGGAGGCAGCAGUGGGGAAUAUUGCCCAAUGGGGGAAACCCUGAUGCAGCCAUGCCGCGUGUAUGAAGAAGGCCUUCGGGUUGUAAAGUACUUUCAGUAGGGAGGAAGGCAGUGUCGUUAAUAGCGGCAUUGUUUGACGUUACCUACAGAAGAAGCACCGGCUAACUCCGUGCCAGCAGCCGCGGUAAUACGGAGGGUGCGAGCGUUAAUCGGAAUUACUGGGCGUAAAGCGCAUGCAGGCGGUCUGUUAAGCAAGAUGUGAAAGCCCGGGGCUCAACCUCGGAACAGCAUUUUGAACUGGCAGACUAGAGUCUUGUAGAGGGGGGUAGAAUUUCAGGUGUAGCGGUGAAAUGCGUAGAGAUCUGAAGGAAUACCGGUGGCGAAGGCGGCCCCCUGGACAAAGACUGACGCUCAGAUGCGAAAGCGUGGGGAGCAAACAGGAUUAGAUACCCUGGUAGUCCACGCCGUAAACGAUGUCUACUUGGAGGUUGUGGCCUUGAGCCGUGGCUUUCGGAGCUAACGCGUUAAGUAGACCGCCUGGGGAGUACGGUCGCAAGAUUAAAACUCAAAUGAAUUGACGGGGGCCCGCACAAGCGGUGGAGCAUGUGGUUUAAUUCGAUGCAACGCGAAGAACCUUACCUACUCUUGACAUCCAGAGAACUUUCCAGAGAUGGAUUGGUGCCUUCGGGAACUCUGAGACAGGUGCUGCAUGGCUGUCGUCAGCUCGUGUUGUGAAAUGUUGGGUUAAGUCCCGCAACGAGCGCAACCCUUAUCCUUGUUUGCCAGCACUUCGGGUGGGAACUCCAGGGAGACUGCCGGUGAUAAACCGGAGGAAGGUGGGGACGACGUCAAGUCAUCAUGGCCCUUACGAGUAGGGCUACACACGUGCUACAAUGGCGUAUACAGAGGGCUGCCAACUCGCGAGAGUGAGCGAAUCCCAGAAAGUACGUCGUAGUCCGGAUUGGAGUCUGCAACUCGACUCCAUGAAGUCGGAAUCGCUAGUAAUCGUGAAUCAGAAUGUCACGGUGAAUACGUUCCCGGGCCUUGUACACACCGCCCGUCACACCAUGGGAGUGGGCUGCACCAGAAGUAGNU
rnacentral:rRNA from 1 species